rnacentral:rRNA from 1 species
AUUGAACGCUGGCGGCAUGCCUUACACAUGCAAGUCGAACGGAAACAGGUUAAGCUGACGAGUCGCGAACGGGCGAGGAAUACAUCGGUACGUGCCCAGUAGCGGGCGAUAGCGCGGCGAAAGCCGGAUUAAUACCGCAUACGACCCAAGGGAGUAUGGGGGGGAGCGCAAGUCCUCUCGCUAUUGGAGCGGCCGUUGCCAGAUUAGCUAGUUGGUGGGGUAAAAGCUCACCAAGGCGACGAUCUGUAGCUGGUCUGAGAGGACGAUCGGCCACACUGGGACUGAGACACGGCCCAGACUCCUACGGGAGGCAGCAGUGGGGAAUUUUGCGCAAUGGGCGCAAGCCUGAUCCAGCCAUGCCGCGUGCGGGAAGAAGGCCUUCGGGUUGUAAACCGCUUUUGUCAGGGAAGAACUCCUUUGGGUUAAUACCUCGGGGGGAUGACGGUACCUGAAGAAUAAGCACCGGCUAACUACGUG